rnacentral:lncRNA from 1 species
ACACGUGGCUUUGUGGCACUAGAUGAUUCCAAUGUACAGCCAAUGAUGAGCAGCUGCUGGGCUGAAGGGACUGGGGCCAUUUUAUACCAGGAUGUUACACAGAAAUGCCUGAAAAGCAAGGAGCAGCUAUCAGAAUGUUUGGUGACACAGCUCCUCCUGUCGUGGUUCCUUCGGCAUGGACUUCACAUUCAGCAGAUCCAUGAGGUGUUCCCUUUCGGAUGAGCUCCAAGGUCUUAAGAGAGCAUCUCUAGUCUGCGUGAGUCCGUCUGAACGACGGUCCUGAGCAAGAACCACCUAUAACCAUCUGCUCAAAAUAACUCAGGGGAAGUCAAAGCUUUCUAUGUGGAAGGUGACUGAAACCACAUACACAGACCACUGCAGCAUUCCUGACAUUAUGGAACUUGGAAAUGAUUCCAAACAUGGCCAUAGCUUGAGUAACAUGUUUUGCUAUGACAAGAACUUGGACUGUAGUCCUUCCCCCUCUCAAGAAUGUGACAUCACACCUUAUCAGAUCCUACGAGUGAGCUACUGACCUCAACCACUGAACUUCAAACUAUGUAAAAACCUAAGGGUUCGACAGACACUUUGAGAGCUUGGGCUGUGGCAAGCUACACUCUGUCAGCCUCUCUUCGACAGGGCCCCACCCUGCUAGCCUUUGAACUUGGAAGCAUCGCCCACAAACACCAGUGCCACCCUCUAGCCUUGAGGGACCAUAUAUGUCUCUGUGAAUCUCCGUUGCAUUGGACAGCUUCUCUCCCAAGAGCUGCUCUUAUAAAAGAGACACACCACAUUUUAAUGAGGCUUCGCUCUCCACAGAGGCCUGCUUCCAUCCUAAUUGAGCAAGUAGACUUUAGUAACUUUGGAACUCACUCACCCCGUGACUAAUACACCCUGUCUACCCAGCGCAUUCCCUGUGAGAUUUGUUCAUGUUGUUCUCCCCCUCCUUAAGCAUUGUGAACCUAGGAAAAAUAUCAUCUCUGUAGGGCAAUAAACCAUGUGAUUUGUGAAAU